rnacentral:tRNA from 1 species
UGGGGGAUCGUCUAACGGUAGGACAUAUGGCUCUGGACCAUAGAAUUGGGGUUCGAAUCCCUAUCCCCCAG